rnacentral:rRNA from 1 species
CCUACGGGAUGCUGCAGUGAGGAAUAUUGGUCAAUGGGCGCGAUCCUGAACCAGCCAAGCCGCGUGAGGGAAGACGGCCCUAUGGGUUGUAAACCUCUUUUGUCGGAGAACAAAACCCGGGACGCGUCCCGGACUUCGUGUAUCCUACGAAAAAGCAUCGGCUAACUCCGUGCCAGCAGCCGCGGUAAUACGGAGGAUGCGAGCGUUAUCCGGAUUUAUUGGGUUUAAAGGGUGCGUAGGCGGUCUGUUAAGUCAGCGGUAAAAUUGCGGGGCUCAACCCCGUCGAGCCGUUGAAACUGGCAGACUGGAGUGGGCGAGAAGUACGCGGAAUGCGCGGUGUAGCGGUGAAAUGCAUAGAUAGCGCGCAGAACUCCGAUUGCGAAGGCAGCGUACCGGCGCCAGACUGACGCUGAGGCACGAAAGCGUGGGGAUCGAACAGGAUUAGAUACCCCAGUAGUC